GACGAACGCUGGCGGCGUGCCUAAUACAUGCAAGUAGAACGCUGAAGGAGGAGCUUGCUUCUCUGGAUGAGUUGCGAACGGGUGAGUAACGCGUAGGUAACCUGCCUGGUAGCGGGGGAUAACUAUUGGAAACGAUAGCUAAUACCGCAUAAGAGUAGAUGUUGCAUGACAUUUGCUUAAAAGGUGCAAUUGCAUCACUACCAGAUGGACCUGCGUUGUAUUAGCUAGUUGGUGAGGUAACGGCUCACCAAGGCAACGAUACAUAGCCGACCUGAGAGGGUGAUCGGCCACACUGGGACUGAGACACGGCCCAGACUCCUACGGGAGGCAGCAGUAGGGAAUCUUCGGCAAUGGACGGAAGUCUGACCGAGCAACGCCGCGUGAGUGAAGAAGGGUUUCGGAUCGUAAAGCUCUGUUGUAAGAGAAGAACGAGUGUGAGAGUGGAAAGUUCACACUGUGACGGUAUCUUACCAGAAAGAGACGGCUAACUACGUG
rnacentral:rRNA from 1 species